UGCCAGCAGCCGCGGUAAUACAGAGGGUGCAAACGUUGCUCGGAAUUACUGGGCGUAAAGCGUACGUAGGCGGAUUCGCAAGUCGGGCGUGAAAUCCCUGGGCUCAACCCAGGAACUGCGUUCGAAACUGCGUAUCUUGAGUGAUGGAGAGGGAAUCGGAAUUCUCGGUGUAGAGGUGAAAUUCGUAGAUAUCGAGAGGAACACCAGUGGCGAAAGCGGAUUCCUGGACAUUUACUGACGCUGAGGUACGAAAGCGUGGGGAGCAAACAGGAUUAGAUA
rnacentral:rRNA from 1 species